rnacentral:siRNA from 1 species
GGGUAAUGUAUUUGGGUUCAAA